rnacentral:rRNA from 1 species
UUUUGCAUAAUGAGCCUGCGAGUUGUGGUGUCUGGCAAGGUUAAGCAAACGCGAAGCCGUAGCGAAAGCGAGUCUGAAUAGGGCGCUUAGUCAGAUGCUGCAGACCCGAAACGAAGUGAUCUAUCCAUGAGCAAGUUGAAGCUAGUGUAAGAACUAGUGGAGGACUGAACCCAUAGGCGUUGAAAAGCCCCGGGAUGACUUGUGGAUAGGGGUGAAAGGCCAAUCAAACUUCGUGAUAGCUGGUUCUCUCCGAAAUAUAUUUAGGUAUAGCGUUGUGUCGUAAUAUAAGGGGGUAGAGCACUGAAUGGGCUAGGGCAUACACCAAUGUACCAAACCCUAUCAAACUCCGAAUACCUUAUAUGUAAUCACAGCAGUCAGGCGGCGAGUGAUAAAAUCCGUCGUCAAGAGGGAAACAACCCAGACUACCAGCUAAGGUCCCUAAAUCUUACUUAAGUGGAAAACGAUGUGAAGUUACUUAAACAACCAGGAGGUUGGCUUAGAAGCAGCCAUCCUUUAAAGAAAGCGUAAUAGCUCACUGGUCUAGUGAUUUUGCGCGGAAAAUAUAACGGGGCUAAAGUAAGUACCGAAGCUGUAGACUUAGUUUACUAAGUGGUAGGAGAGCGUUCUAUUUGCGUCGAAGGUAUACCGGUAAGGAGUGCUGGAGCGAAUAGAAGUGAGCAUGCAGGCAUGAGUAGCGAUAAUUAAUGUGAGAAUCAUUAACGCCGUAAACCCAAGGUUUCCUACGCGAUGCUCGUCAUCGUAGGGUUAGUCGGGUCCUAAGUCGAGUCCGAAAGGGGUAGACGAUGGCAAAUUGGUUAAUAUUCCAAUACCAACAUUAGUGUGCGAUGGAAGGACGCUUAGGGCUAAGGGGGCUAGCGGAUGGAAGUGCUAGUCUAAGGUCGUAGGAGGUUGUACAGGCAAAUCCGUAUAACAAUACUCCGAGAACUGAAAGGCUUUUUGAAGUCUUCGGAUGGAUAGAAGAACCCCUGAUGCCGUCGAGCCAAGAAAAGUUUCUAAGUUUAGCUAAUGUUGCCCGUACCGUAAACCGACACAGGUGGGUGGGAUGAGUAUUCUAAGGCGCGUGGAAGAACUCUCUUUAAGGAACUCUGCAAAAUAGCACCGUAUCUUCGGUAUAAGGUGUGGUUAGCUUCGUACUAGGAUUUACUCCGAAAGCGAAGAAACUUACAACAAAGAGUCCCUCCCGACUGUUUACCAAAAACACAGCACUCUGCUAACUCGUAAGAGGAUGUAUAGGGUGUGACGCCUGCCCGGUGCUCGAAGGUUAAUUGAUGGGGUUAGCAUUAGCGAAGCUCUUGAUCGAAGCCCGAGUAAACGGCGGCCGUAACUAUAACGGUCCUAAGGUAGCGAAAUUCCUUGUCGGUUAAAUACCGACCUGCAUGAAUGGCGUAACGAGAUGGGAGCUGUCUCAAAGAGGGAUCCAGUGAAAUUGUAGUGGAGGUGAAAAUUCCUCCUACCCGCGGCAAGACGGAAAGACCCCGUGGACCUUUACUACAGCUUGACACUGCUACUUGGAUAAGAAUGUGCAGGAUAGGUGGGAGGCUUUGAGUAUAUGACGCCAGUUGUAUAUGAGCCAUUGUUGAGAUACCACUCUUUCUUAUUUGGGUAGCUAACCAGCUUGAGUUAUCCUCAAGUGGGACAAUGUCUGGUGGGUAGUUUGACUGGGGCGGUCGCCUCCCAAAUAAUAACGGAGGCUUACAAAGGUUGGCUCAGAACGGUUGGAAAUCGUUCGUAGAGUAUAAAGGUAUAAGCCAGCUUAACUGCAAGACAUACAAGUCAAGCAGAGACGAAAGUCGGUCUUAGUGAUCCGGUGGUUCUGUGUGGAAGGGCCAUCGCUCAAAGGAUAAAAGGUACCCCGGGGAUAACAGGCUGAUCUCCCCCAAGAGCUCACAUCGACGGGGAGGUUUGGCACCUCGAUGUCGGCUCAUCGCAUCCUGGGGCUGGAGCAGGUCCCAAGGGUAUGGCUGUUCGCCAUUUAAAGCGGUACGCGAGCUGGGUUCAGAACGUCGUGAGACAGUUCGGUCCCUAUCUGCCGUGGGCGUAAGAAGAUUGAAGAGAUUUGACCCUAGUACGAGAGGACCGGGUUGAACAAACCACUGGUGUAGCUGUUGUUCUGCCAAGAGCAUCGCAGCGUAGCUAAGUUUGGAAAGGAUAAACGCUGAAAGCAUCUAAGCGUGAAGCCAACUCUAAGAUGAAUCUUCUCUAAGCUCUCUAGAAGACUACUAGUUUGAUAGGCUGGGUGUGUAAUGGAUGAAAGUCCUUUAGCUGACCAGUACUAAUAGAGCGUUUGGCUUAUCUUUAAUAAAGCAU